rnacentral:lncRNA from 1 species
AUUAAAGAUUUCUUCUUCAAACUUUUUAAAUCUAAAAUUAAAUAGUUGACACAGCAUAGGUUUCUGACACAGAAUGAAUGUGGUCUAAUGAACUUUUUUUUUUGCCUUUGAGCAAUUCACUAUGCUGUUGAAUAUUAAUCCUCUCAAAAAUAUGUUUGAAGAAAUUUUCUUUUUAUUUAUGAAAUCUGAAAUGAGAAAAAUUUAACCCCCCCCCUUUUUUUCACAUCCCUGUUUCCCUUUUUCCAAAACUGAUAUCAAUUCAAAUUUCUAAUGGAG